rnacentral:lncRNA from 1 species
ACAGGACUGAGAUACCAAUGGUUAAACUAGCGAUAGAACAUACUGCUAUUGCUAAAUAGAAAUAACCAAGCACCUGCACUUUGGAGCAGGACUUGGGCUGGUCCUAGGACUUGGACUAGGAGAGGCUGGUGAAAGAAAGUUGUUUCUUCACUCAGCUGAUUCUGCUUACUGCUGAGGGUAACUUUACAGGAAGAGUGCUCUGCCUGGGCUCCUUUACCGUGGCUAUUUAAUGGCUGAAAAACUGAAAAAAGAACUAUGUUUUCUUCACAAGCUGCGACCUUCCUAAAGUAAUCAUCUAGCACAAGUUUGCCUCCUGGACUAUUCCAGAAAUUGAUCUUCCAGUAACUGAGAGAACUCAAAAAUACCCAAUGCUGAUGUGGCUUCAGUAGUCAUUGUGGUCUCUUCCUCAGAAGAAAGUCUGAAAAUAGGGGUCCCCACAGGGUUUUGUUCUGUAGUUUACAGAGGCUAUAAAUAUAUUAAUCAACCCUAAUGAUUCUCCAGAAUAUAUUCACUUCAAUACUAAUGGCUAGAUUGCCCCAUAAUGAAGAGAGAUUUUAUGAUAUUUUUGUCUAGUUCUAUUGCACUUUUAGUGGCUGGAGAGAUUCCAUUUAAGUUAAUCUCGUGUCUCUCCUUCAGGAAGCAAGGUCAUGUCCAGUAUCAGUUAAAUAUAUGGCACUACGCCUAUCAAGACUUUUGGAUCUUGCAGUUCCAGGGGCAGAUUUCAACACACGCAGUCCUUUACUAAUAUUAAAUAGCAAAAUUGCCUUAAGGAUCAUUAAAACCGUUGUGAUUUUUUUGUGCAUCUGCUGUUUGUCUCUCAGUGGAAUCUGACCUCUCCUUGCUUUGUGUGCCUUGAAGGGCUUCCUGCAGUCUAGAGAGGAGGUUGGUGCAGUAUCCUCCUGCAGACAAAGUCCCCGCUGCGUUCUUAAAGACAGUGAUGUAGCACCUUUGGUGGGCGUCUGCUGACAGCCUCAGAGGAUGGAGUUGAGGUCACUGCCCCAGUACAUGCACUGUGCGGACCUCCCGAUGUUGUCUUACCUCUCUUUGAAUGGCAAAUACUGCCACCGGGGGACAAUGCGGCGGUUAUCGGAGCGAAAGGGGCAGAACAACCUGUAGCACUGUCUGUCUCAGGAUCUUGCAGGAGGUGCACUCUCAGAGUCACCGGCUUGCCAGAACUCUCCUGGAUUUACACACAGAAAUGCGGAGACAGAGAAAUGAAAACGAACUGUCAGCUGCUUCUGAAUCCAGAGCGCUGAAUGUUGCCGUGAGCCCAAAAUAACAAACUGUGUUUCAAGGCACAGACCCUGAAGACGAAGCACGCAUUCCUGAAAUGGUUCUGACAGCGGCGUUACGGAUAAGCUGCACGAGCUUCUUGAUCCGAUCCGGGGCUGCAGCUGCCGAUACGCACAGGGUGACCUUCCUGUUUCCGAAUGCUAUUAAGUCCUAAUGGCAGGAGACCUCUGCAUCCUGAGGGAAGGAUUUAAACCACCGAAACUGCGCCGGCUGGCAGAACAGAAUUUACCAGCCCUUGGAGGAAGGCUAGAUGGAAUCUGAACAACCUCUGGGUCAGCCUGUGGCAGCAGAGGAUCCCUCCUCCCAUGGAAGAGGUGUUCGUACCGCUCAGGUGCCGCAGUGCUGCGCCGGCAGUCCCACCACAGCCCCCAGCAGAGGCACCUGGCAGGGCUGCCUCCAGCCCAGCUCAACAACACGAGCUGAACGAGCCCAAGUGCUUUCUGAAAGCACAGCUGUGCCCAGAUCGGGGCAGUUCCUGGCAUCACUAGGUGCGAUUUUUCCAUGCUCAUAGCCAGCAUAGUUACGCCUCUGAAACUUUGUAGUAGAGACCUGGCUGGAAUCCUUCAGAUCCUCGCUCUCAGCCUUGGCAAAGCAAGCCCUCUAACUCUGUUGGAGCCAAGGCAGCUCAGCUCUUCCCAUUUAACAGUCCAGACCUUGUUCUUUCAGUGACCAGAAAAGUUGUUCCUGCGGGAAUGGCUUAUCUCUCUGUUCACUGCUUCAUAUCCUGCCUAAAACACUACUAUGGGAUGUAUGGCUGCUCUACUGGAUGCCAAUAUCCAUCCUGUGCUUUUGGAAAGGCAAUUCAAAUUCUGUGCACAGGCUUCUGGCAUGCUGAAAGCUUUUGGUUGCCUGUGUCCAAAGGGCUUACUUGUACAUGUGUGCAGUGCUGGGUUAGCUGGCAGAAAAUAUCACAUUUCCAAACCCUCUGCAAGGAAUCAGUGCUGAAGUUCUGCCUCCCUGAUCUUGUAUUGAUGUUUCCUUUGCUAAUGGCAUGUUAGAACACAAGUUUUAUUUACCCAGGAUAAUAUUUCAUUUUGUCCAUGUGCUGAGGUGAUAAAGUACUUAAAUACAUUGGAUGAUCUUUUCCUAAUGCCAUUUGGUGUGUUUAUGUUGUGUUGCCAUUUUUUAGAGAUAAAAAGAGGCUGAAAGAGCACCAGAGCAUGGAAGAGAUACUUAUGAGUGUUGGGCCAUCAUCAGAGGAAAAAAGAGAGACAAAUAUGAAAAAGAAUGAGUGCUGUGUUUAGUACUUUCUUCUCAUCCUUCACACGGGCAUUUCUGGAAGAGUUCUGGUGUGAUACAGUGUGGUUAAGAUAAGCAGUGGCUGCAAAAGUGCAUAAAAAGUUAGAGAUGACCGACUGCGAUUUUUGCCCAGCCACCUCACAGUGGUGCUUCUCUUAGUGGUCCCUCAUUCAUUUGGACAAAGUAUCUUAGCACGAUAGGAUGUGAAACUUGGCCAUGAGGGGAGGUACACAGAUAAUUUGCUGGUUCUUUCAGCACUUGGAGAAGUUGAUUAUCAUCUGAGAAAGAUUCUCAAAUAUUGUUGAGUGCUGGUUCAAAUGCGACAUAUAAAUGAAGUGAGUUGGGGCUGUCUGCUGAUAUCCUCUAAAGCUACACAGCAGUGCUUCUACAAGAAGUAAGUGCCAGGCAAAGAAACCUGACUUACACAAGUGCAACGUUAUGGACGUGAAAACAAUCAAUGUCCAGAAUGAAAGGAGGCCAGAGAAAUAGUGGGACUCCCAUCACCCCUGUUCUAUUUUAAGGAAUGGUUGCUAGAUAAUGCCAUUCAUGGAGAGUGAAGAUGAAUGUUCUCCCAGUGAUACUUUACAAUAUUUUCAGUGGUAUAUUUGCUCAGCUUUGUAAAAUCCUGAUACAAGGGAACAAGUAAUAUGCAUCAAGUUUAUCGAAGCUCAUUAAUUUGAUGAAAUAUAUUGGAAGGAUUGAUUUAUUCACAAUAUUAAACAGCUACUUACGUGAAACUCUGCUUUCUGACUGGUAACGUGAGAACACACAUUGGUUGCUUGCUAUUUUGUUAAUACUUUCACAAAACCACAUCAGCCUCUUUGUUUUUCUGCUGUUUCUCACAGUUCAGCAGACAGCAACAUGCACUUAACAAAAAUAGAGAGGCUUAGAGACAUGUGCAAGAGACAGCUUCAGAAAAACUCUCAAGACAUGCUAAUCAUCUCUAAGAAGAAAAUAUGUUAUUGGCCUAGUAACCAAGGAACAGACAAAGCUUCCAGGAGAUAUGCAGACUUUAAAACAAUCUGCAGUAUAAUUCCACAUAAAUGGCACCAAAACAAUCUCCAAGGGAGUUGCUGCAUCAUUUUGUCACAGCUCAGCACAACACUUGGUCACUAAAUGAUGCAGCUCUUUGAUAUCUCAUUCCCAUUUUGGUUUGCUUAGGCAAAUCCAGAUGAUCUCUGCCCUGUGCAUCAGUGGAUGCUACAAUCAUUAUGGCUGUGCUCAGGCCCCCAUUCCACAGGAAGAACCACUGGAAUUGUUUACUAUGGAGAAAAGGAGGCUGAAGGGAGACCUUAUUGCUCUCUUCCAGUACCUGAAAGGUGAUUGCAGUGGGAGCAGGGCUGGUCUCUUCUCACUGGUGACAGGACGAGGGGAAAUGGCCCCAAGUUGCACCAGGGGAGGUUUAGGUUGGAUAUCAGGAAAAACUUCUCUACUGAAAGGGCUGUUAAGCACAGGAAUAGGCUCCCCAGGGAGGUGGUUGAGUCACCAUCCCUGAAUGUGUUUAAAAACCAUCUGGAUGUGGUGCUCAGAGAUAUGAUUUAGUGGAGGGUUGUUAGAGUUAGGGUAGCAUGAUUAGGCUGUGGUUGGACUUGAUGAUCUUUAAGGUCUUUUCCAACCUGAGCAAUUCUACGGUUCUAUGAUUCUAUGAUUCCUGCUCUGGUCUUGGCCAGCACAGAUCACUAACUCCAACCCCUGGCACCUGCACCAUCCCACCAUUCCUUCUGCAGAUGUGAAAUUCAGCAUGAGCAAAACUCACCCAGGUCUAGGUCAUAACAAGCCCUAGGUUAGAAAAACGUGGUGUUGUCAAUUUUAGUUGGUGUUUUGACUAAAUAUGCAAGGAUUAAUGGUACAAGUGGUUAUUCCAGCAUAUCUGAGAGGCCGUAUCCUCUGGAAAGGUGAACAAACAGCAUGACAGUGGCGGUGGGCUGCCUGGCAUGGGGUGGGUUCUUGUUCAAAUAGCGUCCUCCUCUCACCAAGCAAUAUCUGCCCGUGGUCUAAUAUUGAGUUAAACUGUUCUUACCUUAAAUAAAUGAAAGAUGUCUUAGUGCUUCAUUAUUGCAUAU